GGCACAAAUUUGAAGUAGAGAAGGUCAGUAAGAUCAGCUGGCCAUACUAAUCUGCUCUAUUUCAAGUUUGUGCCC
rfam:Haemonchus contortus, ISE/inbred ISE, WGS project CAVP01000000 data, contig: Hcontortus_41685